GAUGAACGCUGGCGGCGUGCCUAAUACAUGCAAGUCGAGCGAACGGACGAGAAGCUUGCUUCUCUGAUGUUAGCGGCGGACGGGUGAGUAACACGUGGAUAACCUACCUAUAAGACUGGGAUAACUUCGGGAAACCGUAGCUAAUACCGGAUAAUAUUUUGAACCGCAUGGUUCAAAAGUGAAAGACGGUCUUGCUGUCACUUAUAGAUGGAUCCGCGCUGCAUUAGCUAGUUGGUAAGGUAACGGCUUACCAAGGCAACGAUGCAUAGCCGACCUGAGAGGGGGAUCGGCCACACGGGAACUGAGACACGGUCCAGACUCCUACGGGAGGCAGCAGUAGGGAAUCUGCCGCAAUGGGCGAAAGCCUGACGGAGCAACGCCGCGUGAGUGAUGAAGGUCUUCGGAUCGUAAAACUCUGUUAUUAGGGAAGAACAUAUGUGUAAGUAACUGUGCACAUCUUGACGGUACCUAAGCAGAAAGCCACGGCUAACUACGU
rnacentral:rRNA from 1 species